CCUACGGGAGGCAGCAGUGGGGAAUAUUGCGCAAUGGGGGAAACCCUGAUGCAGCGACGCCGCGUGAGUGAAGAAGGAAUUCGUUACGUAAAGCUCUAUCGGCAGGGAAGUAACACUUACCGUACGGUGAGCAGACGGUACCUGAGUACGAAGCCCCAGCUGCCUACGUGCCAGCAGCCGAGGGAAUACGAAGGGGACAAGCGUUACCCGGAGUUACUGGGUGGAAAGGGAGCGUAGAUGGUGCGCCAACACAGGAGUGAAAUGCCGUAGCUUAACUGCGGGACUGCGUUGGAAACUGGUGGACUAGAGUGCGGGAGGGGUAAGCGGAAUUCCUGGUGUAGCGGUGAAAUGCGUAGAUAUUAGGAGGAACACCGGUGGCGAAGGCGGCUUACUGGACCGGAACUGACGUUGAGGCCCGAAAGCGUGGGGAGCAAACAGGAUUAGAUACCCGAGUAGUC
rnacentral:rRNA from 1 species